GGGACAUAUUUUCAACUGCAAAGCCACGGUGGGCCCGGCUGUCAAGGAGAGACCGUGCGGCCGAGCGCCUGGGAGUCGCGGCGGGGCGGCGCGGCGCGGGGCCGCAGGGCGGGGAGGCAGGUGUCCCGGCCGGCCGGUCGCCCCGCCCCCACCGCUGGCAGGAAGAGGAAGCAGCCGGGCCAGGCCCGCGGGCCACCGCCGCGCCUCGCGGGGCGGGGGCGCCCUGGCUCCGGGAGGCGCGUGACCUAGUUCGUCCCAAAGUGGAUUUGACAGGAGGAGAGAACGCACUUCUGGUCCUGCAUUCUAGGCCAGAAUCUUCCAGUUCACCGUGGCUGGACCAUUUGGGCCUGGCCCCAGCCUAGACCAGUGAUUGUGGUCAAGAGAAGGAGAAGUGUUGAUGAGAUUAAACCAACCAGAUCAUCUCCUUAGAGCAGAGCAUCUUUCCUUAGGCUAGGAACUGAUUGCUGCACUCACCUGUGACCGCCCAGCUCAAGACAAUAGACUUGCCUACUGCUACGCCCUCCAAGAUAGCAGACCCACUACCUGCUGUGUCCAUCAAGCACUGUGCCGACAGGGCAAUCUUGUGACUAUUGUGGGAGGGACAUUUCAAUGAUAUGUGAAAUAUCCUGUUUGGGGGUAUAUAACCACUCUGUGCACCCCACUUCUUCUGUGCCCUUUCUUCCUUCGGGAAGAAAGGCCCCGGGACAUGGGUCCUCAUAAAGCUUUGUUUAAUUUUCUCUUGCUAGUCUGUCUCAUGUGAAUUUAAUUCGUUCUCCAGCCAGACGAACCCACUUUGGAUAGAGGAAAAGUCUUCCUCCCCUACAAAAGGAAGAAGC
rnacentral:lncRNA from 1 species